rnacentral:tRNA from 1 species
AUCUUUCUAAUACAACAGUAUUUGUGACUUCCAAUCACCUAGUCUUGGUUAAAAUCCAAGGAAAGAAA